GCAGACCACAAGACCAGAGUCUUUCUUCAGAAUCAAUGGACAAAGUCAAGGACAAUACACUUUGUUACUAUGUGAGAUUGCAAUUCUUGAAUUCUUAAAUUUGUUUGAGUGUUUCAUUCAGUGAGUUUUAGACUUUAAGGACUGUGAUGGUUAAUACUGUGUGUCAACUUGAUUGGUUCGAGGGCUACAAAGUAUUCAUCCUGGCUGUGUCUGUGAGGGUGUUGCCAAAAGAGAUUAACAUUUGAGUCCCUGGGCUGGGGCAGGCAGAUCCACCCUUAAUCUGGUGGGCACAAUCUAAUCAACUUCCAGCAAAUAUAAAGCAGGCAGAAAAAUGUGAAAAGGGGAGACAGGCCUAGCCUCCCAGUCUACAUCUUUCUCCUGUGCCGGAUGCUUCCUGCCCUCAUCAUUGGACUCCAUAUUCUUCAGUUUGGGGACUCAGACUGGCUCUCCUUGCUCCUUCAGCUUGCAGACAGCCUACUAUGGAACCUUGUGGUCAUGGUUCUGAGAAGCAGUGAAGCUAAUGUUCUGAAGGAGACAAAGAAGUAUGUUGCUGUGUUCCCAAGACAAAUAUCAAAGACGUUUCAGUCCUCAGGUAAUUUACUAGAUCUGCUUCUAGAACUAUUUACUUCGAAGCUUCAGUAAAAAUGAGAGAGAUGCCAAAUGGUGUUUAGUUUAGCAGACAGACAUCUGGGCCCUUCUCCUGGAUCUGGCCUUGCUGACAGGAAAUUUCUCCUGACAAUUGCAGGGCUUUGGUGAGGUGGAAGAAAUUUGUCUUCUCUGAAGAUAAAAUUCCAAAUUAUUAUUUUUUGAAUAGUCUCCAUUAAAUUUUCUGUAGUGCACUGAAAGCUUGUCCUUGCAGUUAACAACUACUGCCAUCGCUCCACAUUUACUUUAGGAAUGAAGGCUGAAUUAUUUAAGAAUGAAGAAGGGAUUACUAGAUAGAACAAGACUGCAGAGCCCUAUUUCAUGGGGUGGCAUUAACCUCAGAGGAUCAAAUCAGUGAUUGUUAGCAAAGUGCUUCAAACAGUGACUGCCACACAGAAGGGCUUGCUUACUAACUCAAUAAAUUAAAACAAAACUGAGGGAGAAUGUGCCUUCUCUGGGGAUAGUCCUGGGACUUCUGAGAAAAUCCUAAAGGACUCAGCUAUUGCCCUCAAAGCAGGAAUUUGCAAGUGAGCUGAGCUCAACAUGCAAUAUGUAGUGAUUUCUAACUUUUUAAGCCUUGGUGGUUUGGAAGAGUAACAAAUGCUUCCAAAUGAUGUGUAGUUUCCGUCCAGAUGGCAGAAGGAAGGGCCAUCAAAUCUGCCAGGAUCCCCAGGAAAUAUAGUGAGAUAUUAUUAUCAUUGUUUUCCAGACAUGGAAAUUGAGUCUCAAAGAGGUUAGGUUUCUUGCUCAGGUUAACUCAGAGUGAGGAUUUAAGCCCACACUUCUCUCAAGCCCACAUCAAGAUGCUUCCACGGCACUACUCAAGGCAACCAGGCAUGACCAGUAGUCUCAUUAGAACAAGUAUGUAUGUAUAUAUGCAUUUCUACUUCUCUUUUUGAUCUUAUGGAACUCUGUUCCUCGUGAGACAAUAAUUCUUGUUGCAUGCUUUAAAUUGACAAAGUUCCCUUCACUGAACUAAUACUUUCCACGGUGGACUCAGAGAGAUUAUGGAGUGCUUAUUAGGUGAUAUGAGACCUAGGAGAAGCUGUUAUAUGCUUUCGGAAAAUGGGAAUUUGUAUCUUCUUUAUAAAAAAUAACUGGUUGAGUCAGGAAAUAAUUUAAAAGUUUGGUCGUAUCUGAUCAACGUUCACUCAUUUGGUAAACCUUUUUUGAAAGCAGACUUUCAUGUGAGAGCUCUACUGGGCUUGGGGAAUAUAAAAAUCAGAAACACAUGCAUCUUGUAAUGAGCUCACAACGUAGUGUAUACACAAUCUAAUUGUAUAACUUUGUUAUUCAAGGCAUUAAAUAUUGCAAAAGAAACAAAAACGAUUAACCACUGAGCUAAUGUGUUCCACCAAAAAUUAAUCUGUUUCAGCAAAAAGUUUUGUGUAUGCAUACAAAUAUAGACACAUAAAGGUAGGUAUAGGUAUUUGCAAUCACUUUCUCUCUUAUGUAUGCCAAAGUCUAGCCAUAAUGAGUAGCAAAAGGCUAGGAUAAUUUAUAUUAGAAAUAAAAAAAAAAAAGAAAUGAGAUCAAAAUACUAAUAAAAAGGUGACAAAAUACAUUCAAUUAAACUAAAUUGUACUUACACUAUAAUGACUACUAGCUACUAUUUGUGGAACAGCUAGCUAUCUGGGUCAGAAGCCAUGUAUUUUUAAUACUAUGUCUCAUUUAUUUACUUAUUAUGGGGUAUUUUUCACGUUACAACCCAACGAUAUGUUUCACUUGCUGUCUGUGACUGGCAGUACAGUAAUCCAAGUACCAUGAGCUGUUAUGUUUUCAUCCUCAUUAGACAAUGUUCAUGAAACACGUAGCCAGCAUAAGCAUCUUAUCCUUCUCUCUUCACUCACUGAAAAUACAUAUUGGAUAUCUGCUAUUAACUGUACCAUACAUCUCCUAAUAUUUUCUUAAGACUUAAAUUUCGGGGAACCAGAGGUAAAAUACGGUAAAAAGCCCACAUUCUGCUUCUCAUUUAAAAAACUCCAAAGCUUGGUUUAUAUGUUCUAAUUUUGUAGAUGGUAUGAAAACUGCUUUGUGAUUAAUUUUGAAAUUGCACAUAUCACGAGAAGAUGAUUAUUUCUAGAGACCUUACGCCUAAAUGUGCUUUAGAAUAACACACUAAAUAACAGGAAUUACAAUGAUGAGGUGAAAUCAUUACCUCAUUUUAAUCUUUCUACGCCUGUCCUUUAGUUCCUAAAACUGAUUUUUUUUUUCCUAUUUAGUUCUUUGAAUCUAUUUUUGCUUUAGCAUAAUGAAUAACUUUUAUUUUCUGCAACUGCUGGAGCCUAUACCUUAUUCUUCAAGAUAAGUGGCUAAGAAAUGAGUGCUGUGGGCUCUGAUUUUUCAGAAAAAAACAUUCAGGAUGAAUCUGUAGAAUCAACUGUGUCUUUUGUGUCUGUUAUUUUUCACUGAGGGCAAAUGGAUCUACCUCACCCUCAGACCCCCAUCAGGCAAGUUUGCCUUUCCUUUUCCCAUCCGCAAGACAAAUUAAGAAUGCUGAAACCUUUCACUCAUAACAAAACAGUGAUAAAGCAGGUAACAAGACCUCACAUUAAUCAGGUCUUUCAAAGAAGAGGCCGCAACCUGCACCCUUUGUCUAGCCUGCUGGUAGGUGGGUUUUUUUCAGACUCUUUUUAGGGGCCUAGCAUUCUUUAGUUCGGCAGCACAUUCUCCUUGGAAAUGUUUCACUUUUCAGACAGCCUCUGUGUUGAUCAAAAAACCCAGAGAGCCACUACAGAAACCUGAACUUCUAAUGAUCUUCUUUUAUAUUUUCUUACAAUGGACAAUGGCUCUCUCAAUGCUAAUGGCAACCGUACACAGGCAACAAUGCAAAGAGAUGGAGGGUGGAGAGAGUAGCCACUAUCACAAGAUGUGCUGUAUCAUCUUGGCGGAAAAAAAAAUCCCGUUUUCUGUAGCCAAACUGUUGCUAUCUCUUGUUGAAAAUAUUCAAGGUUCCUGCAAACCAAUGCUAAGAGGAGAAAAGAUGAGAGUAGAUGAGUAAUUUUCUUCUCAGGAGGAAAACAUUACCUUCAGUUAAAUGGUAAUAGACCAGUUUUCUUGUAUUGUAAUCUUUUUCACUAACGUCACAAAAAUAGCAUAAUUUCUCCCUUAACUUCCUUCAUGGCAGCCUUCGACCUGUUGUUUCCAGGCUAAAUUGUGCGUACGCUGUACAUACAAUUACGUUGAGUCAAGCACGCCCUCUACUGAUCAAUAAAAAUAUUACCGAACAGGAUUCACCGGAAUACUGAACUCACAAAGGAAAGAUAUUUUGGGC
ensembl:lncRNA